rnacentral:rRNA from 1 species
GAUGAACGCUGGCGGCGUGCUUAACACAUGCAAGUCGAACGGUGAAGCAGGAGCUUGCUCUUGUGGAUCAGUGGCGAACGGGUGAGUAACACGUGAGCAACCUGCCCCUGACUCUGGGAUAAGCGCUGGAAACGGCGUCUAGUACUGGAUAUGUGAUGUGACCGCAUGGUCUGCAUCUGGAAAGAAUUUCGGUUGGGGAUGGGCCCGCGGCCUAUCAGCUUGUUGGUGGGGUAAUGGCUCACCAAGGCGUCGACGGGUAGCCGGCCUGAGAGGGUGACCGGCCACACUGGGACUGAGACACGGCCCAGACUCCUACGGGAGGCAGCAGUGGGGAAUAUUGCACAAUGGGCGGAAGCCUGAUGCAGCAACGCCGCGUGAGGGAUGACGGCCUUCGGGUUGUAAACCUCUUUUAGCAGGGAAGAAGCGAAAGUGACGGUACCUGCAGAAAAAGCACCGGCUAACUACGUGCCAGCAGCCGCCGUAA